CCCCAGGGACAUCAGAAGAAUAUACAAAGAGGGGACUGGUAGAAUCUAUCGAAGCAGAGGCAGCAGUAUUCGUAUUGGAAGCCAUAAUCACACCGGAUAUUCACACACAAACCAGAUAUUCACACACAAAACCAGGUAUUCACACAGAAAACCAGAUACUCACCCACUGAGCCAGAUAAUCACACAGAAAGCAUACAAUACUCAAGAUAAGGAAAGAGUUACCCUCCU
rnacentral:lncRNA from 1 species